GCGCCUGUAGCUCAGCCGGAUAGAGCAACGGCCUUCUAAGCCGUGGGUCGCAGGUUCGAAUCCUGCCAGGCGCGCCA
rnacentral:tRNA from 2 species